rnacentral:rRNA from 1 species
AGCGAACGCUGGCGGCAGGCCUAACACAUGCAAGUCGAACGAACCUUUCGGGGUUAGUGGCGGACGGGUGAGUAACACGUGGGAACGUGCCUUUAGGUUCGGAAUAACUCAGGGAAACUUGUGCUAAUACCGAAUGUGCCCUUCGGGGGAAAGAUUUAUCGCCUUUAGAGCGGCCCGCGUCUGAUUAGCUAGUUGGUUGAGGUAAUGGCUCACCAAGGCGACGAUCAGUAGCUGGUCUGAGAGGAUGAUCAGCCACAUUGGGACUGAGACACGGCCCAAACUCCUACGGGAGGCAGCAGUGGGGAAUCUUGCGCAAUGGGCGAAAGCCUGACGCAGCCAUGCCGCGUGAAUGAUGAAGGUCUUAGGAUUGUAAAAUUCUUUCACCGGGGACGAUAAGGACGGUACCCGGAGAAGAAGCCCCGGCUAACUGCGG